rnacentral:tRNA from 1 species
CGGGGCGUAGCGCAGCCCGGUAGCGCGCCUGCUUCGGGAGCAGGAGGUCGCCGGUUCAAGUCCGGCCGCCCCGA